AUUGAACGCUGGCGGCAGGCCUAACACAUGCAAGUCGAGCGAGCGGCGGGCGGGUGAGUAAUGUCGGGGACACUGCCUGAUGGAGGGGGAUAACUACUGGAAACGGUAGCUAAUAGCGCAUAAUAGCAUAUGUGCCCAGAGGGGAUUAGCUUGUAGGUGGGGUAAUGGCUCACCUAGGCGACGAUCCCUAGCUGGUCUGAGAGGAUGACCAGCCACACUGGAACUGAGACACGGCCCAGACUCCUACGGGAGGCAGCAGUGGGGAAUAUUGCACAAUGGGCGCAAGCCUGAUGCAGCCAUGCCGCGUGUGUGAAGAAGGCCUUCGGGUUGUAAAGUACUUUCAGUGGGGAGGCGUUACCCGCAGAAGAAGCACCGGCUAACUCCGUGCCAGCAGCCGCGGUAAUAC
rnacentral:rRNA from 1 species